rnacentral:rRNA from 1 species
CAACAAGGCAACGAGCCCGAACGCUAAUUUUUUGGGCCGCCACGUGCGGAAGCGCGGGGCACUGAGGGAGCAUGCCGGUGCCAAACCGGAGGAAGGUGGGGACGACGUCAAGUCAUCAUGGUCCUUACGUCUAGGGCUACACACGUGCUACAAUGGCGGGGACAAAGGGCUGCGAGCCGGCAACGGCAAGCCAAUCACGUAAACCCCGCCUCAGUUCGGAUUGUCGUCUGCAACUUGACGGCAUGAAGCUGGAAUCGCUAGUAAUCGUGGAUCAGCUACGCCACGGUGAAUACGUUCCAGGGNCCUUGUACACACCGUCCCGUCACGCCAUGGAAAGCUGUGAGCGCCCGAAGUCCGUGUCGUUUUCUGCAUGGAUCAUGCGGCCGAAGCGAGCGCAGUGACUGGGCGAGGUCGUAACAAGGUAGCCGUAGGGGAACCUGCGGCUGGAUCACCUGCCUGAACAGAUCGCGAGUAUCCUCCCUCGGAGGGGAAAGCAUCUCGUAGUCGCUUCGCUCGACACAUUCUGUGCACCACUCUCGAUUGUNGACCCUCGGGCACUCGGUGCCCUGCGGGUCAGUGCUGUUGACACGGAUGUACUGGUAGAUCGUGGGAUUAUGAUCCUUAUCUGAGAUGAAUUUUCGCAGAACAGUCACUCGUUGAGACAUGCGCGUAGUUGCUGAAACUCAUGUGUAGCAGAAGCUUGGGAGCUGGCCCGAGCAGAGCUGUAGCGCAAGCUGGAGGCAACGGACUGAGCCAUGGAACGAUCAUAUCCGCCGCGUACUUGAACCAGUGUCUCUAU